GACGAACGCUGGCGGUGCGCCUAACACAUGCAAGUCGAACGGUGAACCGGGCUUCGGCCCGGGGAUCAGUGGCGAACGGGUGCGUAACACGUGGGCAACCUGCCCCCGACCCUGGGAGUAACCCCGGGAAACCCGGAAGCUAAUACCGGAUACUCUCCUCUGACCACCCUGGUCGGAUGAGGAAAGGUCCGCCGGUCGGGGAGUGGGCCCGCGGCCUAUCAGCUUGUUGGUGGGGUAACGGCCUACCAAGGCAUCGACGGGUAGCUGGUCNGAGAGGACGACCAGCCACACUGGGACUGAGACACGGCCCAGACUCCUACGGGAGGCAGCAGUGGGGAAUCUUGCGCAAUGGGCGAAA
rnacentral:rRNA from 1 species